AACGCUAGCUACAGGCUUAACACAUGCAAGUCGAGGGGCAGCGCAGUGUAGCAAUACACGGGCGGCGACCGGCGCACGGGUGCGUAACGCGUAUCCAACUUUCCCGUUACUCUUGGAUAGCCUUCCGAAAGGGAGAUUAAUACAAGAUGGUAUCUGAAUUUCGCAUGUUAAUCAGAUUAAAGAUUUAUCGGUAACGGAUAGGGAUGCGUGACAUUAGGUAGAUGGCGGGGUAACGGCCCACCAUGCCUACGAUGUCUAGGGGUUCUGAGAGGAAGGUCCCCCACACUGGAACUGAGACACGGUCCAGACUCCUACGGGAGGCAGCAGUGAGGAAUAUUGGUCAAUGGCCGGAAGGCUGAACCAGCCAAGUAGCGUGAAGGAUGAAGGUUCUAUGGAUUGUAAACUUCUUUUAUAUAGGAAUAGAACCUCCCACGUGUGGGAGCUUGUAUGUACUAUAUGAAUAAGCAUCGGCUAACUCCGUGCCAGCAGCCGCGGUAAUACGGAGGAUGCGAGCGUUAUCCGGAUUUAUUGGGUUUAAAGGGAGCGUAGACGGGAUGUUAAGUCAGUUGUGAAAGGCUGCGGCUCAACCGCAGCACUGCAGUUGAUACUGGCGUCCUUGAGUGCGGUUGAGGUAUGUGGAAUUCGUGGUGUAGCGGUGAAAUGCUUAGAUAUCACGAAGAACUCCGAUUG
rnacentral:rRNA from 1 species